AUGACCUGGGCAACACACGUGCUACAAUGGGAAGUACAACGAGUCGCAAACCGGCGACGGUAAGCUAAUCUCUUAAAACUUCUCUCAGUUCGGACUGGAGUCUGCAACUCGACUCCACGAAGGCGGAAUCGCUAGUAAUCGCGAAUCAGCAUGUCGCGGUGAAUACGUUCCCGGGUCUUGUACACACCGCCCGUCAAAUCAUGGGAGUCGGAAGUACCCAAAGUCGCUUGGCUAACUUUUAGAGGCCGGUGCCUAAGGUAAAAUCGAUGACUGGGAUUAAGUCGUAACAAGGUAGCCGUAGGAGAACCUGCGGCUGGAUCACCUCCUUUCUAAGGA
rnacentral:rRNA from 1 species